AUUAACACCUUGGGAUUAGAAUUUCAACACAGGAGAGAACCUCCAGUGAGCGCACAGAAAGAAGAACGCCACAGGAACGCACAGUGGAGAGAAUGCCAUGUGAAGGCACAAAGAACGGAGAACGCUGCGUGAACGCACACACGUGGGGGAGAAAGCCAGGGGAACGCACAGAGUAAAUAGAACGCAAUGGGAACGCACAGGAAAGAGAACGCCACGGGAACACACCGGGGGAGAACGCCAGGAGAACACACUGAGGAGAGAACUCCGCGUGAACACAAUGCGGGAGAACUCCAGGUCAACGCACGGAGAGGAGAACGCCUGCUGAAUGCACGGGGUUGGAGAACGCCGGUGAACGCCGGUGAACGCACGGGGAAGAGAACGCCACGUGAACACACGGGGGAGACGCCGCACGAACACACAGAAGGGAGAAUGCCGGGUGAACACACACGGGGGAGAACGCCCACGCGAACGCACAGGGUAGAGAAUUCCGGGUGAAGGCACAGGAGGGAAACGGCGCGCGAACGCUCAGCGGGGAGAACGCCUGGUGAAUGCACGGGAGGGAGAAGGCCAGGUGAACGCACAGGGGGAAAAUGCCGCGCUAAAGCACACGGGAAAUAACGCCGAGCAAACACACAGGUGGGAGAACGUCGCACGAACGCACAGCGUGGAGAACGCGACGUGAACGCACACGGGGAAGAACACUGCGCGAACGCACAGCAGGGAGAACGCCACUUGAAAGCAAAGUGAGGGGAGAAUGCCGCGUUGAACGCACAGUGGGGAGAACAACCCGCGAACUCAUAAAGGGGAGAACGCAGCGUGAAAGCACACAGCGGGGAGAACGCCUGGGGAACGCAAAGAGUAAAGAGAAUGCCUUGGGAACGCACAGGAGAGAGAACGCAACCUGAACACACGGUGGGGGCUGGAGGAAGAACGUCGGGAGAUCACACAGGGAGGAGAACGCCAGGUGAACGCACAAGAGAAAACGCCUGGUGAACGCGCAAAGAAAGGAGAAAGCCAGGUGAACGCACAGGGAGAACGCCGCACAACCGCACAGGUAGGAGAAAGCCAUGUGAACGCACAAAGAAAGGAGAACGCUGAGUGAACGCACACAGGGCCGAGAACGCCAGGGGAACGCACACAGUAAAGAGAACACCGAGAACGCCGUGGGAACGCACAGGAGAGAGAACGCCACGUGAACACACGAGGGAGAACGCCGCGGGAACACACAGAAGGGCGAAUGCCCGGCGAACGCACAGAGGGGAGAACGCCAGGGGAACACGCACGGGGGAGAACGCUGCGCGAUCACACAGCGGGGAGAACACCGGGUAAACACACACUGGGGAAAACACCGCGUGAACGCAUAGAGGGGAGAACCCCGGGUGAACACACAGAGGGGAGAGCUCCGUGUGAACACAAAGGGAGGAGAACGCCUGGUGAGCACACACGGGGAGAGAACACCGCGCGGACCCACAAGGGGGAGAAUGCCUGGUGAACGUACAGCGGGAGGGGAGAACGCUGGUGAACGCACAGCGGGGAAAACGCCAUGUGAACGCACAAAGGAAGGAGAACGCCAGGUGAACUCAUACAGGGGGUAGGAACGCCAGAGGAAAGCACACAGUAAAGAGAAGGCCGUGGGAACGCGCAGGGGAGAGAACGCCGGGAGAACACAGAGGGAGGAAAAUGCCAGGUGAACGCACAAGGGGGAAAACGCCUGGUGAACGCACAAAGGAGAAAGCCAGGUGAACGCACAAGCAGCAGAACGCCAAGUGAACGCACGAGGGGAGAAUGCUGCGCCAACACACACGGGAAACACAACCGCGCGAGCACGCAGUGGGGAGAACGGCACGCGAACGCUCAGCAAGAAGAACGUAAGUUGAACGGACAGCGGGGAGAACGCCGCCCUAACACACGCGGGAAAUAACGACGCGUGAACACACAGCAGGGAGAACGCCGCGUGAAAGCACAGGGGGGAGAACGCCGCGUGAAUGCACACACGGGAAAUAACGCCGUGUGAACACACAGCGGGGAGAACGCCGCGUGAACGCACACAGGGGAAAUAACGCCGCGCGAACACACAGGGGGAAGAACGUCACAGGGACGCACAGUGGGGAAACGCCAUGUGAACGCACAAAGAAAGAACGCCACGUGAACUCGCACACGCGGGGAGAACGCCGGGGAAACGCACACAGUAAAGAGAACGCAGUUUGAACGCACAGGGGAGAGAACGCCACGUGAACACACAGAAGGGAGAAUGCAGUGCGAACACACAGAAGGGAGAACACCUGGUGAAGGCACAGAGGGGAGAACGCCGAGCGAACGCACAGGGUGGAGAAUGCCAUGUGAACGCACAAAGAAAGGAGAACCCCUGGUGAACGCACACAGGAGAAAGAAUGCCGAGGAACGCACAGAGUAAAGAGACCGCCGUGGGAACACACAGGGGAGAGAACGCCACGUGAACACAUGGGGAGAACGCCGCGGGAACACACAGAAGGGCGACCGCCUGGUGGAUGCACAGAGGGGAGAACGCCAGGGGAACACACACAGGGGAGAACGCUGGGCGAUCACACAGGGUGGAGAACGCCGGGCCACUGGAAGGGGUUCAUGGCACAAAAAAAGAUGCAGCCCAGCAAUAAGGUGAAAGAGAGAUGACGGAGCCACUGGACACAAGAAGCCUUGCACCCUGAGUCACCCCGUGGAGCACUGACGAGCCUCGGCUCCUGAUUCAUUAUGCGGAGUGCUGCCUAGUACCAGGAGCAACAGCACUGGACAGGGACAUGAGUAAGAAAUAAAACUUCCAGAGCGUGAAGCUAGUGAAAUGAUGGGAUGUGUUUAUCACAGGGCUAGCAUCAUCCUAACCAGCAUGGAGACAUGCGGGGCUGUGAACGGGAGCCUAGAGCUGCAAAUUAGACAAGCCUGGGCCAGGAGACCUUUUGCAGGCUGCAAAGCUGCUCUCUCCUUUGCCUCCUCUGUACCUCAAAGGACCUGGGGUGGUGAAGGGAGUUGUGGGCCGACCUGAGUCAGCCUGAACAGGCUGUUCCUUCAGCAGAUUCCUCAAGCUCUGCCCCGGCCCCUUCCUCGGCCCACCCCAGCUUGCCCUCCAAGGGGUAUUAUCACUGUGACCCUCGUCUCCUCCUCCUGUUCAGGCUUUGCCUUGGCAGCGCAGCAGUGCCCCUCUGCAAAGGGGUCUCGCAUGCUGUUCAGCAGCUCUCUUCCCGCCACAGCGAUGGGCAGCCGGAUCCCAGCUGGAACUCCGCCACAUCCCAGGAAUGUGAAUACCAGUGGAAUCCGGAUAGGACGGUGUGACCCAGGCACAGUGGGUGAGAACCGGAGCUUGGCUAGCAGGCAGGGGUUCAGCUGCUUCCUGACCUGUGCCCUGGCACCUCUGACCUGGCCGGAGCUUCUCAGGCAGUGACCACUGCUGAAACUUUGAGACCCCAACAUGUGUGGGAGCAUUUCUAAGCCUUCCUUGCAUGGACACACUCCUCCCUAACGCUGUCCCAUUUUCCAGACAGGGUCUCACCCACCCCGCACUGCUGCCCCCAGUGCUUUGAUUCAGCCCCUCAGCUGUGAAUGGAGUUGGUUCCUCAUAUGAGAUCUCAAUAAGACUAUGGUGGGAGUCGGCGUAGAGCAGGGAAAGCCUGGACUUUCUGCCAGAAGGUCGGGGUGGGGCAGUGCAGGCCACGGCACCUCCCGGCUCUGUGCACAGGGUGGGCCACCCCAACCCGGCUCCUCACACUUCACGGCAUGCAGCAGCCUCCUGGGCCCUGGGAACAUGCAGACUCUGAGCAGCAAGACUGCGCAGGACCCGACAUUUGCAUUUCUAAACAGCUCCCAGGGGACGCCAAUGCUGCGGGCUGAGGCCCACGCUGGAGGAACACCGGCCAGUGGGCAGCUUUGGGUGAACUUCAGAGUGGGUGGAAGCGCAGCUGCCCCGCCUGCCCCCACGGCUGCUGCGCGAUCAGGAAACACAGCACACUCCUAAGUGAGUCGUCACCAUGGUGACUUUUGGAUUCCCACUGCCAGUUCCUGUGGAGUCAGAGAGAUCUUAGCUCAGAAGUGCUGACAGCAGGGGCUGGCUGGCCACUGGCCACAUGGGAAGAGGAGAAAGGCAGCAGGAGCCACCGUGAGGCAAAUGAGCUACAAGACGCCGCUCCGUCUGAUUUCCCGCCACAGCUCCCAACACAGGUGAAAUGGCUCAGAACAGCUCAGCAUGUCCUACUGAGGGGCAGGAAGGAUGCUGAGAAAAUCCCAGGCAGCGGUCUCAGCUGGGAUGUAAUUUGAGGGCGAAAAAGUUGUGUUGCUUGCGGUUUCUUCCUUGCUCCUUGCAGGUUAUAUUUGAAAUGAAUGUCAGAGCCAUGCGGCCGCUGCCAACUAAUUCCCAGCUAAGAAGGUAAACACCAGCAUCACCUGGGUCUUCUGGUCUACCUGAUUCUGCAGCUCAGAGGGAACCAUGCAGCUGGCAAAAAUGACAGCGAGGGCAGGACUAUGACCCAAUUAAAGGAAUGUGAGUUAAAACAUGGGGAGCCAAACACCCAAAUUCCAGCCUGAUCCUAAC
rnacentral:lncRNA from 10 species